rnacentral:vault_RNA from 1 species
GGUCGGCUUUAGCUCAAGCGGUUACUUCGCAUGUGGUUAUUAAAAGUAAAGGCUGGGGGCGCCUGGGUGGCUCAGUCGGUUAAGCGUCCGACUUCGGCUCAUGUCAUGAUCUCACGGUCUGUGGGUUCGAGCCCCGCAUCGGGCUCUGUGCUGACAGCUC